GGUAAGUCAUAAAUGCAACAGUUGGAAAUCAAGUUAUUAAUCAAACGAAAUUUACUACGACUGGAAUGUCCUUUGAAACCAGGAGGAAGCAAGCACCGUGACUGAAAUCAUUGAAAAUCAUGUUAAGAAAUGGCGCAGCAGGCUUUGGUUACCAAAUGAUUUCUAUUGAUUCCAAACGUUUUCACAGCGUUCUAGGUUAUUUCUAAUGUUUUUUUUUUUUUUUUUUUUUUAUCAUUUGCUGUGAUACUAUCCAAUUUGGAAAUUAUGGAAAAUCGCCUAGAAGGCUCAAGAAUAAUUGGAAGUCAGGAGUAGGAUUGGAAAUCUAUAGAAAUUGCUGGAAAUCAAUCUUAAGAACGUUCUUCAUUCUUGGGAACGUGUUAAUUAUAAAAUCGUUUCUGAACUUGCCGAUAUUUCCUAUGAUAUUCGAAUUCGCUUAAAAACAAUUUUAUUCCAUGGUAGGAAUUUCAUUUCGUUUGUGAGCACCUUCAUUGUCACAAAUAAUGUUGCCGGAGGUUUUUCCAACGGUUAUCCUCUUAUCCUAACUUUUGAUUCAGAUGAUACAGUACAGCCGAUUCAUCAUUUAGCUAGACGAACGGACAAUUCGAUAUUCAGUCAAUCGUGGACUGGGAAUUGAUUUGCAAAAACUUGUUCCAACUAGUUUUUGAAAAGGCUGUUUGUAAAUCGAGUUUUAUAAUUUGCAUUCAAUAAAUUUUACUACUUAAACAAUUUCACCUCGUAGUCGUGAUCGAGCCGUAGGGAGAUGAAAAGCUUUCUCAGAAAUGUAUUUAUAGUUUUUUCACGGGAAAAAAUUAAGUUUUCAAAGCUUUGAAAACCCCUGAAACUUAUAAUUCGUAAUUCUAAUGUGGUGUACUGCAAAAGAAUGAAAAUUUCUCCAACUUAUAUUACACGAGGAUAUAAAGUGAGUGAAUUAUGUAAUGCAUUACGUAUAGCAGAUUGGCGAAUGUUCUCAUUCUCAGUUAAAGUCGCACUGUGGCAACAAGAACGAAAUUAAUAAUAAUUCAAGUGAGAAGGUUUCUACAUGCCCAGUUUUAAGAUUAGCGGUAAAUUUCAAAACUUCGUGAAACCAAGAUAAAUGGACAUGAAACGCCGUCAGGACGGAAAUAGAUAAAAUUACAGCGUUUACAAACAAACGAUAUGUAUAAAGUUGCGUUUCCGAGAGGGCCACAUUUUUUUAAAUAUUUAAUGUAAAUAGACCUUGACUGAAAUUCAAUAAAAACUCAUUUCUUUCGAA
rnacentral:lncRNA from 1 species